UUGGAUUUUUAAAAAGAAACUGUUCAAAAGACAUGUCUCGUAAUGCCCUUAAGUCCCUUUAUAUUGCAAUUGUUAGAUCUCGAUUCGGUUAUUGUAGCCAAUUGUGGGCCCCCAGUCCGUUAUACGUAAUAUCUUUCUGCUGGAGUCUGUUCGACGUAGAUCAACUAAAUUUAUAUGUGGAUAUACGGAAGCAAACUAUCGUGAUCGACUUGUCCAGCUAAAGCUAUUACCUGUCAGCUACUGGCUGGAAUACUUAGAUCUAAUAUUCUUCUUUAAGUGUAAAGUGGGCAUAUAUUCUAUAGAUUUAUCUAAUCACUUAACGUUUUGUGCUGGAGUUACAAGGCGCUCGUCUUCAGGUCUGUAUUUACGACAAAACUGUAUUCCAAAAACCUCCAGUUUUAGAGAUUCUUAUUUCAUACGUAUUGUAAAUAUUUGGAAUGCUUUACCUAACAAUAUUAAGGCUAGUAGUUCCUUAACUGGGUUUAGAGUGAAGUUGAAAGAAUUCUAUUUUGAAAGGUUACGAUCAGUGUUUGAUGGGGACAACAUCAGGUCGUACAAAAUUAUUUGUCUAAAAUGUCGUAGUGUCAACACCAUGAAUUUAUGUACUUGUUGACUGACUUUGAUUUUAGUGUAAUUGUAAGAGUGCGGCAAUUGACCUUGUAAGAGACUUCGUGUCCUAUUGUUACUCCGCCAAGCAUAAAAUUGUUAUUUUGUAAUACUUUAUAUA
rnacentral:lncRNA from 1 species